ensembl:ncRNA F46E10.17 ncRNA
GCGCGACGAGCAAUCCCGGUAGGGCUCCCUGACUCAUUUGAAAGUGAAGUAGAGAUAGAGGACCAUAAAAGUUUAAUGGAUGAAAUGAGGCCAGUAGGGAGAGAGUAUAUGAAUAGGCAUGAAGAGAAACAGACACGACUUUCUAGAUGAGGUGGAUGUGGACGCCGAUCUCGAACGGAGAUAUUCAUCGGGGCAU